UGAUCCUGAUGACAUGGGUGAGCCACUUAUGCAUACAUGCUGACUCUGAAAAUAUAAAGAUCAGAAUAUAUUAAACACAAAUGGAUGGAUCGAUUACAAUAACAUCAUCCUAUUUUAUUUGACGUGAGGAUAAUAAGGAAGGGCAGUGCGAUAUAAAAAAAACACAUCCAAGUACCAUUCACCUACUGUCCUGCCAUAGUGCUCCAUACCAUUUAAAUACUGUCCUGCGCCACUGUGUCAUGCUAUUUCUUCACUAUCCUGUGCGAUUUACCUAACCCUUUCAUGGGACAGUAAUCAAAUGGCACAAGACAGCAGAUUAGUACCAUAGUACUGUACUGUACGUUAUUAUCUCUGAAAAAGUUUGUGAUUCAAGUCUGCACAGUUUCUUCUCCUACUGCUACUGGAAAGAAGGGUGAUAAUCUCAUAUUUUUUUAUUUUUUUGCAGGACGCAUAGACAUGCUGACGAUCAUGGCCAUGCGCUGGAACCAACAAAAAGUUUGACAACUUGGCUUCUACCCUUGCCCGCCGAUAUCGGAAGGUAAAGACACCAGUUUUCCCUUAUGCAAAAUGCAUAGCGAUAUUGUAAAAUAAAGCAAAUAAAUGGCAUAUAUCACAAAAAUAUAGAGAACACUUGCCCAGAUAUUCUUUAAUAUAUAUUAAAUAUACGGAUGGUUGCAUGUGUAGUGUCAAUUGUAUUUUUUUUAGUGUCUUGAUAUAAAAAUAUUACAUGUUCAUACCACAUAUAUUGAUAGUCCACGUAUAUACGAAUAUACUGUAUAUUUAAUUAGUGUUGUAUGUGGUUUUCUAAUAGUGAAGGUACUUCACAAUCCUUAUCAACAAUAGUCAAAGUGGUAGGCGUUUUCCUCAUUGUCAUUUAUGUUUGAAGGCCACAAUAGCCCUGCAAUGCCAGUUGCAUAACCUGGAGGCCAUGAAAACGGAAAUGGACGUCUCAGACAAUCAACUGGAGAGGUGGAUCAUUGAUAUCAAUGAGUGGGCAGAAGCAACAACAUCCCCAAAUGAUGCUGAUGUUGCCGCUGUUGCCAGCCGAAUUGAGGAGCUGGUGGCAAGUGUUAAGAGGAGGUCCCAGCGUCUUUACAAGGAUAGUGACGGAUGCAAAGGACGUGCCCGAAUCCGCCGAAAGAUCAGGGAGGAAAAAAAAAUCUUAAAUUCUGUAGUGGAAAAGUACAACACCUUGGUUCCUAAUGCAGAAAAAAACUGUCAUUGGACACCAUUCUAUCUGACGAGAUUGUUUGGCCAUGGCAGCUUACACACGGUGACUCUGUUGAUCUAAGGACAAAGAGGAAGGCGUUCGACAUUGUGAUGGCAGUAAGGAGACUUGAGGAGGAGAAGAGGAUUCUUAUUGCAGAGAUGAACAAGCAUUGGAAGUCUCUUUGCUCCCGUGCAGACACCCUGAAGCAGAUGUCAUCCAAGCUUUCUAAUGUGACAUCAGGUAUGUAUUUGUUAUACUUGGCAUACAUUACAAUAUUUCUGAAUGUUUUUAAUUAAUAAAGGCUCAAUAUGUUUUAACAUGUAAGGUGAGACUUGGGGCCUGCUUCAAGAUGGUAUCCGAGGUCUACAAAGCUUGACGAUGAAGAACAAGCGAGCAAGCAACAGCCUGGCAAAGCAUGCAAAGAAAUAUUAUGUUCAAGUUCUGACUGAAACAGAAAUUAACUUUGAUAGUGAUUCUGAGGAAUACCAUACCAGUAGUGACUCUGAGCAAGAUUAAACAUGGCCAGAGUCCUUUUUAUGCUGUUGUGUGCUGGGGAGGCAGCAUUAAAGAAGAGGGCCGCUGGGACAGGUUGUUAAGGAAAGCUGGCUCUGUGUUUGGCAUGGAGCUGGAGUUAAUUAUUUAACAAACUGAGGAUAAUUUGCAGUAGCAGUCUUCUGUCAUGCUCAACAUUGAGGAGGUCCUUUGUCCCCAGGGCAUACCAGCAACUCAAUGUCACAGAAAAGGUUAGGGGAGAAAUUGACUUUUCAGCAUGAGUCUCACCCUGCGCCAACCAUUACAUCGCUUUGUCUAUUGUCUAGUAUCCACUAUCCAUUUGACUGUCUUACAGGCUACAUUAGCCCCUCUACACAUUCUGAACUGUGGUUUCAACAUUUACCCCUGUUGGCUUGUAUAAUCUUUUUUUUCUUUUUUUAUAUAUAUUUAAGUUUCUGUUUUUUUCUAUCUAUUUUAACUUCUUUGUAUUGUUUUUUUGUUAAGCAAUACUAUUAUGCUCAGACUCUUUUUUUUCCAUAGUCAUAUUAAACAUGCACAGCUUUGCACUGAUUAAAUCCCUGCACUGUUUACUUUUGCACUACCACCACUGCAAAUCACUCUAUAGUUGCCCAUCAUGUAUCACAGGGUCAGUCCCUACCAGGCCUUUGUAAUCACUUGACAUGCUCUUCACUUUUUUUACAUUUGUGAUUUUUUUGUUAUGUGUCUGAGUUGUGUGUUGUUUUUGUGGUUGUAUAAGCUAAUAAAUGCCUAAAAUGUGGUGUGUCGUCUUAAGUAGCCUACUGUGUCUGUACUAGGGGGAAGAAGACAUUUCAUCAUGACAGUUUCCUCCAUCUCCUAGAGACAUCUUACAUGGAUACACAGA
ensembl:lncRNA